rnacentral:ncRNA from 1 species
AUAUAGUUGAGUUUGGUGAUGGCUCUGAUUGAACACUGUCCAAGUGCUUGACACAUGCUAAUCGAACGUUUUAAUUAUGGCUUUAUUUCUGCGCGAGCGAUUAAAGCUCUAAUUAAAAAGUGGUGUACAGGUGAGUAUAAUAAUAUUUUAUGCCGACCUUAGAGUGAAGGUAAAUCCUUCAUAUAAUAAAGGGAUUAAGUAUUCCCGCUUUAAGAGGACGAUAAAUAUUUUCGGGAUAGGUAGUAGUGAAGGUUAUGUCUUCACUAGCCUUAACUCUCGUAGUCGAAGCUGAAAGG